AUAUCUUCCCCCCAAUUGAUUAUACUGUCAUUGUUUAUAGCUCUGUACCGCACGUUUGAGAUUUGGAUCGUUAGAAUUUUAUAAGACAUUUCUUUUGUUAAGAAUUUUAUAAGACAUUAGUGGUAUCUCUGAUAGCAAGCCUUAUUUUCAUGAAUUUUUUUAAAGCACUACCAGUAUCUACCUCUUUCCCUUUAUUGUUGUCUGGCCUGCUAUUUUUUCAGAGAUAUGGAAAUGCAUCCUACAAAGAUAUUAGUAUAUAGUAAUGGCAUUCCUUUCUCUUGACUCCUUUCAGGUCUGGAUUAUUUGGGAAAUUAUGGAUUUUCGUAACUGAGCCGAAUUUAUAACAUAAUUAUGUAUGGUCCAUCCCACUCAUUUGUCUCAACUAAUCCAUUCCCUUUUAUAUAUUACACAAAAAUAGUUUCUGAUUUUUUACUUUCUUUGUUUAUUGUAAGAAUAUAUGAAAUUAUACGGCACCACAAAGAGUUUAGUUUCAAACUUAUUUGGAAGUGGCCUUCAUUGUCAAUGCAGGCUUGAUAAUCUAUAGUGUAUAGCUUUAUUAAGUUCGGUUCAAUGUGACUUAAUAUAUCACAUCUGCUUACUUUAUACAUACUCACUGUCAUGUUGUUAAUCUAAUGGUGCUUCUUUCAUGUGACGCCUGAAUGGAAGUUUGUUCAUAUUUUCUGAUCGGGCAUGUACCACCAUGUGUCAUGGAUAUCAAGUAUACAGAUGGUUUCUUUGAUGGCCUUCUAGCUAUAGUAUAUUGCAAAUGCAUGAGCUGCACACAAAACUAUCUGGAAGGAUGCGGUUGUUUGUGGUCUGAAUAAGUAUCGAUCACCACAACACGUCAGCAAUGUUCAGUUGUGCACCAGGUGCUUCUCGCGUCUUUGAUUUUGGGUACCAACCUGCCGACUCCCUACCAUGAGAAUGUCAUUGGCGGUGCAUAGCUCUUGGGCACGGCGCCGACGAGAGAUACCCAUGGAAAUUGGAGCUUUCCUCAUAUUCAUUAGUCUUGAUUUAGCAUGAAUUAAUUUCUGUGUGCACGUAUUUCUAUCCUUAACCAGGUUUAUUUUUUUCUUCCAUUUACAUCUAGAUUUUGUUCAAAUAUCAUGUGGUACUACUAGCUAGUGACCGGUUCGUUCUAAUUCGGUACAGUGAAAUCACUAUUGAUCAUUUAUAUUUGGUGAAGGUUGUUGUUUACAACAUUUGUUGACUUCAAAAUCAAAGAUAUCCUUGGUGAUUUGGUUCA